UACGAGGGGGGCAAGCGUUGUCCGGAUUUACUGGGCGUAAAGGGCGUGCAGGCGGCUCGUUAAGUCUAGGGUGAAAGCUCCCGGCUCAACUGGGAGAGGUCCUUGGAUACUGGCGGACUUGAGGAGGGUAGAGGAGAGUGGAAUUCCCGGUGUAGUGGUGAUAUGCGUAGAUAUCGGGAGGAACACCAGUGGCGAAGGCGGCUCUCUGGGCCCUACCUGACGCUGAGACGCGAAAGCGUGGGGAGCGAACCGG
rnacentral:rRNA from 1 species